GACGAACGCUGGCGGCGUGCCUAAUACAUGCAAGUCGAGCGAGACUCUUCGGAGUCUAGCGGCGGACGGGUGAGUAACACGUGGGCAACCUGCCUGUAAGACUGGGAUAACACCGGGAAACCGGUGCUAAUACCGGAUAAUCCUUUUCCUCUCAUGAGGAAAAGCUGAAAGUCGGUUUCGGCUGACACUUACAGAUGGGCCCGCGGCGCAUUAGCUAGUUAGUGAGGUAACGGCUCACCAAGGCGACGAUGCGUAGCCGACCUGAGAGGGUGAUCGGCCACACUGGGACUGAGACACGGCCCAGACUCCUACGGGAGGCAGCAGUAGGGAAUCUUCCACAAUGGACGAGAGUCUGAUGGAGCAACGCCGCGUGAGCGAUGAAGGCCUUCGGGUCGUAAAGCUCUGUUGUUAGGGAAGAACAAGUACCGGAGUAACUGCCGGUACCUUGACGGUACCUAACCAGAAAGCCACGGCUAACUACGUGCCAGCAGCCGCGGUAAUAC
rnacentral:rRNA from 1 species